rnacentral:rRNA from 1 species
GAUGAACGCUGGCGGCGUGCCUAAUACAUGCAAGUCGAGCGAACGGACGAGAAUCUUGCUUCUCUGAUGUUAGCGGCGGACGGGUGAGUAACACGUGGAUAACCUACCUAUAAGACCGGGAUAACUUCGGGAAACCGUAGCUAAUACCGGAUAAUAUUUUGAACCGCAUGGUUCAAAAGUGAAAGACGGUCUUGCUGUCACUUAUAGAUGGAUCCGCGCUGCAUUAGCUAGUUGGUAAGGUAACGGCUUACCAAGGCAACGAUGCAUAGCCGACCUGAGAGGGUGAUCGACCACACUGGAACUGAGACACGGUCCAGACUCCUACGGGAGGCAGCAGUAGGGAAUCUUCCGCAAUGGGCGAAAGCCUGACGGAGCAACGCCGCGUGAGUGAUGAAGGUCUUCGGAUCGUAAAACUCUGUUAUUAGGGAAGAACAUAUGUGUAAGUAACUGUGCACAUCUUGACGGUACCUAAUCAGAAAGCCACGGCUAACUACGUG